ACAGUGGACGCGAGCAUCUGUGGCCAAGUUUUUAAGGGCGCACGGUGGAUGCCUUGGCACCAGGAACCGAUGAAGGACGUGGGAGGCCACGAUAGUCCCCGGGGAGCCGUCAACCAGGCUUUGAUCCGGGGGUUUCCGAAUGGGGAAACCCGGCAGUCGUCAUGGGCUGUCACCCAUACCUGAACACAUAGGGUAUGUGGAGGGAACGAGGGGAAGUGAAACAUCUCAGUACCCUCAGGAAGAGAAAACAACCGUGAUUCCGGGAGUAGUGGCGAGCGAAACCGGAUGAGGCCAAACCUACGACGUGUGAGACCCGGCAGGGGUUGCGUCGUGGGGGUUGUGGGAUCUCUCUUCUGUCGUCUGCCGGCGACAGGACGAGUCAGAAACCGUUGAUGUAGGCGAAGGACAUGCGAAAGGUCCGGCGUAGAGGGUAAGACCCCCGUAGUCGAAACGUCAACGGCUCGUUUGAGAGACACCCAAGUAGCACGGGGCCCGAGAAAUCCCGUGUGAAUCUGGCGGGACCACCCGCUAAGCCUAAAUAUUCCCUGGUGACCGAUAGCGGAUAGUACCGUGAGGGAAUGGUGAAAAGUACCGCGGGAGCGGAGUGAAAUAGUACCUGAAACCGUGUGCCUACAAGCCGUGGGAGCGUCGCGUUGCAUGCUUGCAUGCAACGUCGUGACUGCGUGCCUUUUGAAGAAUGAGCCUGCGAGUUUGCGGUGUGUUGCGAGGUUAACCCGGGUGGGGUAGCC
rnacentral:rRNA from 1 species